rnacentral:rRNA from 1 species
UACGAAGGGGGGCUAGCGUUGUUCGGAAUUACUGGGCGUAAAGCGCACGUAGGCGGGUCGUUAAGUCAGGGGGUGAAAUCCCAGAGCUCAACUCUGGAACUGCCUUUGAUACUGGCGACCUAGAGUUCGGAAGAGGUUAGUGGAAUUCCCAGUGUAGAGGUGAAAUUCGUAGAUAUUGGGAAGAACACCAGUGGCGAAGGCGGCUAACUGGUCCGAUACUGACGCUGAGGUGCGAAAGCGUGGGGAGCAAACAGGG